UUUAAUAAAAUAAUUACUUUACGGUUUCAAUGUAAUAUUAUUUGAUAUUUAUAACAAUAUUUAUAUAAAUAAUAUUUUUUCAUGGAAAUGUAUACUGUAUAUUAGUGUUUUAUACCACUUUUUAUACCUCUACUAAUGUUACUAUUUAUGUUGCUAGUAUGUUACUAACAUUCCAUCCAGGUGUUUUAAUGUAUGUUUUCAGUGUGCUGUGAUUUGACAUGCACAAUAUCACAUGCUUAAUGUUACAGAUAAUAUCCACAUUUCCCAUGUUAACACUGCUGUGUAAGAUUCAUGGAUAGUAUUCCUCUUUAUUUAUAAACAGACCUCCAGGUUUCAGCAGGGACAGGCCCCACACACACCCCAGAGACAGAGGCAUCGGAAAAGAGCAAAGGGUCCCGAGGGGCUGUGGACCAACACAGAGCCAGCACCAUAAUUCAAUGCGACCCACCCUAAACUACAGCUCAGGGUGUGGAGGACACCUCUCUAGCAGCAACAAUCACAGCAGCCAGUCACACAGGUUUGGGGGUCCACAUCAGCAGCAGCGUCCCACUGGGCGUCCCCCACAGACCCAGGGAGACAAAUGGACACAGUCAACUCAGUCCAGGACAUUCCAAGGGCCCUCUCUCAAACGCCCAGCUCCUCCUCACAAUAUGUCACCACCACACCGGGAUCCAUCCCCUUCACGAGAUGACUGUCCCAGCAAGAGAAGCAGGAGCAUCAGUUCACAUCAGGAGUCCAGUCAUUCUGUCAUGAGAGAUCACAGACCAUAUUCCAUCCCAUCACCACCGAACAGUGCCCCAAGCCAGGGCCUCCAUAGCAAGAAACCCACCAAACAGGGGCAACCCAAUCAUCCGGUCCGAGAUCAUCCAGGCCCCAAUCCCCAUGGGGCCAAAGGGGGCUGGGAUUGCCCAUCACCAGCAAACCUCACCAGUGUGCCUUACAGUCAGCAGCACCAGCUCCCUCCACCACAGAGGCACACCGGCCCCUACAGCAGCCCAGACACCUCAGUACCUCAGCCCAGAUUCAACACAGCACAGCCUGGCUGGAAAACACAGAGAAAACAUGGCAGUAGUAGUGUGAGUAAAUGAAGAAAGAAUUUUCAUUUCUGGGUCAACUAUUCCUUUCAAUAUAAUGCCCAAUGUUCAAAGAACUAGUCUCAGCCUCAGACAACUCACCCACAGACUGUAUAAGUGGGCGUUCUUGACCAGAAUAAGCUCUUAGACUUAAUAUCAGUAGUCAAAAGUCUAUCAAGGCUUCUGCAAGGCUAUCAAUUAAAUAUCAAGUCCAUAUAAAUUAUCAGUGACAGCCAAACAUUACAUUUCAGAAAGGAAUUCAAAUAUAUUGAGCUGCUCUUAUGUAUUAGUAUAAACUUGUGAAAUGUUCGGCAUUUGUUUCUCUCAAGAGCUCCCUCAGCAAACUGGAGACUGAACUCUUGAAACACAUUCAAGCCAAGAGGAGGCACAAGGAGCGUUUAAGGAGGGAGAAAAAGAAAGAAGGAGAGCUGUUAGACACAAGAGAACGGAUGGAGAAAACAAUGGAGGACAAGAAAAAGAAAAAGAUGAGGGAUGGAAGAAAGGGGCAUGAUAAGAAGAACAUACACCAAAAUGGCCAACAGUUGGGACAGAUAACAAGAAGAGCAAAGGAUGAGGGGAAAAAAGGAAUGUAUGAAGACAGGAAGAGUGAGACGCCUUCGAAAUCAGCAUCUCCCAAUUUAGGAACAUUGUAUCCCAGUGAUUCUGAACCUCUCCUGGAUGACCUACUGUUUGAGCCAC
ensembl:lncRNA